ACAACGAGCCAGCGUCUCCCAGGGCACGCCGGAGACACUAGACCCGGAGAGGCUCCCAGGGCACGCCGCAGCACGGCCUGCAGUUGGCCCAACCAAUGGCUGGUGGGAGACUUGGUCGUCACAUUGUUACGUGGUUUAAAUCCUCUCAUCACUCGGGAUAUCUGUUUUGAUGGUCUUCACGUGGAUUCUAAUUUCUGAACGGUUCCAGAAUGAUGCUGAAAAAGGUGCGUUUCGAGGAUCCCCGUGCGUCCCGGACAGUGAAUGACAACGCAGAGGAAAUGGCCAGUCUGAACAACAACAUGGCCCAGUGUCACCAGGAGUUACAGGUGAGCUGGUGUGUGUGUUACAGGUGAGCUGGUAUAUUGUUGCUGGUGUGUGUGUUACAGGUGAGCUAGUGUGUGUGUUGCAGGUGAGCUGGUGUGUGUGUUACAGGUGAGCUAGUGUGUGUGUUACAGGUGAGCUGGUGUGUGUGUUACAGGUGAGCUGGUAUGUUGUUGCUGGGGAUCUAUGUUUGGGAGGAAGUGAGAUAAAACAAAGAAAGAGAUACUAGUUAGUCCAAGUGGACUGAGA
ensembl:lncRNA